UCCAAGGUCAUAUUUCUUUCUGAGGAAG
rnacentral:piRNA from 1 species